rnacentral:rRNA from 1 species
AUACGUAGGGGGCAAGCGUUAUCCGGAUUUACUGGGUGUAAAGGGAGCGUAGACGGCGAAGCAAGUCUGAAGUGGAAGGACGGGGCCCAACCCCGGAACUGCUUUGGAAACUGUUUGGCUGGAGUGCGGGAGGGGUAAGCGGAAUUCCUAGUGUAGCGGUGAAAUGCGUAGAUAUUAGGAGGAACACCGGUGGCGAAGGCGGCUUACUGGACCGUAACUGACGUUGAGGCUCGAAGGCGUGGGGAGCAAACAGGAUUAGAUACCCUGGUAGUCCACGCGGUAAACGAUGAUCACUAGGUGUCCGUGGGUAUGACCCAUGGGUGCCGCAGCCAACGCAAUAAGUGAUCCACCUGGGGAGUACGUUCGCAAGAAUGAAACUUAAAGGAAUUGACGGGG